rnacentral:rRNA from 1 species
AGAGUUUGAUCCUGGCUCAGGACGAACGCUGGCGGCGUGCCUAAUACAUGCAAGUCGAGCGCGGGAAGCGAGUUGAUCCCUUCGGGGUGACGCUCGUGGAACGAGCGGCGGACGGGUGAGUAACACGUGGGCAACCUGCCUGUAAGAUCGGAAUAACUCCGGGAAACCGGAGCUAAUGCCGGGUAACACCUUCUUUCGCAUGAAGGAAGGUUAAAAGAUGGCUUCUCGCUAUCACUUACAGAUGGGCCCGCGGCGCAUUAGCUAGUUGGUGAGGUAACGGCUCACCAAGGCGACGAUGCGUAGCCGACCUGAGAGGGUGAUCGGCCACACUGGGACUGAGACACGGCCCAGACUCCUACGGGAGGCAGCAGUAGGGAAUCUUCCGCAAUGGACGAAAGUCUGACGGAGCAACGCCGCGUGAACGAUGAAGGUUUUCGGAUCGUAAAGUUCUGUUGUUAGGGAAGAACAAGUACCGUGCGAAUAGAGCGGUACCUUGACGGUACCUAACGAGGAAGCCCCGGCUAACUACGUGCCAGCAGCCGCGGUAAUACGUAGGGGGCAAGCGUUGUCCGGAAUUAUUGGGCGUAAAGCGCGCGCAGGCGGUCUCUUAAGUCUGAUGUGAAAGCCCACGGCUCAACCGUGGAGGGUCAUUGGAAACUGGGAGACUUGAGUACAGAAGAGGAGAGUGGAAUUCCACGUGUAGCGGUGAAAUGCGUAGAUAUGUGGAGGAACACCAGUGGCGAAGGCGACUCUCUGGUCUGUAACUGACGCUGAGGCGCGAAAGCGUGGGGAGCAAACAGGAUUAGAUACCCUGGUAGUCCACGCCGUAAACGAUGAGUGCUAGGUGUUAGGGGUUUCGAUGCCCUUAGUGCCGAAGUUAACACAUUAAGCACUCCGCCUGGGGAGUACGACCGCAAGGUUGAAACUCAAAGGAAUUGACGGGGGCCCGCACAAGCAGUGGAGCAUGUGGUUUAAUUCGAAGCAACGCGAAGAACCUUACCAGGUCUUGACAUCCUUUGACCACUCCUAGAGAUAGGAGCUUUCCCCUUCGGGGGACAAAGUGACAG